rnacentral:SRP_RNA from 1 species
GCUGGGUGUGGUGGCAUGCACCUGUGGUCCCAGCUACCCUGGAGGCUGAGGCAGGAGGAUUGCUUGAGCCCAGGAGGUCAAGGCUGCAGUGAACUGAGAUCAUGCCAUACUGCACUCUAGCCUGGGCAACAGAGAAAGACCCUGUCUCAA